ACUCAGCAUGGACAUGAGGGCCCCUGCUCAAUUUCUUGGGUUCUUGUUGCUCUGUUUUCCAGGUGGCAGAUGUGACAUCCAGUUGACCCAGUCUCCAACAUCCAUGUCUGCCUCCCUGGGAGACAGAGUCAGUCUUACUUGCCGGGCAAGUCAGGGCAUUAACCGUAAUUUAAACUGGUAUCAACAGAAACCAGAUGGAACUGUUAAACGUCUGAUCUACUCCACAUCCAAUUUAGAAUCUGGUGUCCCAUCAAGGUUCAGUGGCAGUGGGUCUGGAUCAGAAUAUUCUCUCAGCAUCAGUAGCCUGGAGUCUGAUGAUUUUGCAGUCUAUUACUGUCUACAGUAUAAUGCGUUUCCUCCCACAGUGAUACAAGUCAUAACACAAACCCCAUGGAAGCAGAAGUGA